CGCCUGCUCCCUCUCGCACCUGCUCGACGCCUCGACCCCAAAUCCCCGAUAGCCGCCGCGUCUCGCCGUUCCUCGCCGGUCGCCGCCGUUCGAGCCCAGCGCCCCUGCCGCCGCCCAGCCGCCGAGGAAGCUGCCGGCUCCCGCUUCUUCUCCAGCCCGCCCGCCAGGCCCUCGAUCCAGGGCUCCGGGCGCAUCUCCCUGCGCGCGCGGCGAGCCCCUGGCCCCCUGUCCCAGCGCACGGCUGCGCCUUGACCCUGCCGCGGUGCCGCCCUGCCGGAGUCCGGCUGCCUGGCUGACUGGCGGCCUUGCCCUCGACCCCCUCCAAAUCCGGCUGCAGUGAGAUUUGUUGAAGAAUGAAGAGGUCAGCAGACAUUAUUUUUCUUUUCCAAAGAGAAGCUAUGAAGAUAGGGAAGAAGAAGAAGGCAGAGAAUCUGUCGGAUGUGGCUGAAGAGCAGACCCGCGAAGUUGUGUGUAUGCCGGUUGUGAUCGAAGAGCAAAUUGAAGAACCAACAUUGUCUAUGUAAAAUGUGACCAUAGAGCAAACCGAGGAUGUGUCACCGCCAUCACCACCGGUUUAUGAUUUUAGUCGUCUUAAACAUGAUCCCGGGGACAAGCUACCCAUUGCAAGUUAUCCUAUCAAUGAUCAAGACGCAGUUCGAAGAUCAUAUAUCCUUAAAAAGCCAUUCAAACCUUAUGCACAUGACUUUAAAAGAAGAACAAUUAGGAGUAGAGAACGUUCAUUCAAUCCUUUGUAGCUUCAUAAUCAUAGUUGGCUUGAAUAUAGUAUCAAGAAGGAAUCUGCAUUUUGCUUUGUAUGUUACUUGUUCAAAGAGAAAAAAACUAGUGGUAAGGGAACUAAUGCAUUUACUGAUGGUGGUUGGAGUAAUUGGAAUAGAGAGGAUGCUCUUCUUAAGCA